rnacentral:rRNA from 1 species
GGCUAAAACAGUCAGGAUGUUGGCUUAGAAGCAGCCAUCAUUUAAAGAAAGCGUAAUAGCUCACUGAUCGAGUCGUCCUGCGCGGAAGAUGUAACGGGGCUAAGCCAGUCACCGAAGCUGCGGAUAUCCGCAAGGAUAUGGUAGGAGAGCGUUCUGUAAGCCUGCGAAGGUGUCUUGUAAAGGAUGCUGGAGGUAUCAGAAGUGCGAAUGCUGACAUGAGUAGCGAUAAUGGGAGUGAAAAGCUCCCACGCCGUAAGCCCAAGGUUUCCUGUUCAACGUUCAUCGGAGCAGGGUGAGUCGGCCCCUAAGGCGAGGCAGAGAUGCGUAGCUGAUGGGAAGCAGGUUAAUAUUCCUGCACCGUCGUAUGAUGCGAUGGGGGGACGGAUCGCGGAAGGUUGUCCAACGGUUGGAAGUGUUGGUUUUUGACUCAUAGAAGGCGCUUAGGCAAAUCCGGGCGCAGGAUUCAAGGGGUCGAGACGAGGAACUUAGGUUCUGAAGCAAUCGGAAGUGGUUCCAAGAAAAGCCUCUAAGCUUCAGUCAUACGAGACCGUACCGCAAACCGACACAGGUGGGCGAGAUGAGUAUUCU